AGCAGCCGCGGUAAUUCCAGCUCCAAUAGCGUAUAUUAAAGUUGUUGCAGUUAAAAAGCUCGUAGUUGAAUUUCGGGACUAAUAUGUCGGUCGUGCCUCGGUACGUACUGGUUUAUUGGUUUCUCCUUUCUGAAGAACCAUGAUGUCAUUUAUUUGGUGUCGUGGGGAAUCAGGACUGUUACUUUGAAAAAUUAGAGUGUUUAAAGCAGGCUCACGCUUGAAUACAUUAGCAUGGAAUAGUGAAAUAGGACGUUUGAUUCUAUUUUGUUGGUUUCUAGGAUCGACGUAAUGAUUAAUAGGGAUAGUUGGGGGCAUUAGUAUUCAAUUGUCAGAGGUGAAAUUCUUGGAUUUAUUGAAGACUAACUACUGCGAAAGCAUUUGCCAAGGAUGUUUUCAUUAAUCAAGAACGAAAGUUAGGGGAUCGAAGACGAUCAGAUACCGUCGUAGUCUUAACCA
rnacentral:rRNA from 1 species